rnacentral:tRNA from 1 species
GGAUAUAGCGCAGUCUGGUAGCGCGCCUGCUUUGGGAGCAGGAUGUCGGGAGUUCGAAUCUCUCUAUCC